UCAAACGAACGAUUCAUUAACUGACGUCGCUGUUUUGGGCCUCAUCAAUUGUCGUGUUUUUCUGCUGUUUUGAAAAAAGUUUAACAUUUUCCUGAAAUCUGACUGAACUCUGGACUGUUAGUCACAGGGACGUUUGGCCUUCAUCACCUGUUGGAAGGCUGAAGUCUGCAGCAUGACUCUGACAGUGUCUGAAGGGGAGGGUUUGACGGUCAUCACCAUCGCCUCAAACCCGAAGAGCAAAUGGCCCGUACUGUGUCAGAUUCUGGGUUUUCUGUGCUGCAGUCCAGUCUGUUCUGUGUCUCAGAAUAUGAAAGGGAAGCUGAUGAACAUCCACACUGCUCUUGGGACUAUGCAGAUAAUAGUUGGCAUCAUCAAUAUUGUGUUUGGGAUUUUGCUUAACAGCUUUUGGAUAAGGGGCAACCUUGCAGAUUUUGGGGUUGCUUUCUGGAUCAGUGGUGUGGUAAGAAUUUGUCUUAUUCUGCUCAUUCUUAUGUUUCUAAACCAUUACAUGUGUAAUGAGUGAGUCUUAUUCAGAUUAAAUCUGUCUGUUACAAAUAUGUUUGAGAGGAUGAGAAGAGAGA